CAUGUAUGCAUCAAUAAAUGUAACUAUAUAUUUAGUGCUCGUAAACUCAAAUAAUAUCAACACCAUUUUAUUGAAACAUAAUAAAAAAUACUUGAAAAGAAUAGAUCCGGUCGAGAAGACAAAUCAAUAGAAAAUGCCAUUUGGUCCACGAGAAUAAAAAUUCACUUCUAUCAAACAAAAGAGUUUCACGAGAAUUGUCUCGAUAUAGAACUAAUUAGACAAUAUAAUAAUCACCCUUAUAGGAAAAUGUAAGUAGUAAUGCAUGGUCAAGGUGUAUACACCUUUGAAAGACAUUGCAACAUAUUAAUUUGCAACCUCAAAAACAAGAUAUAAUCAGCUGUCCUGAGUAAAAGGUUGUCUGGUUUCAAGCCUUGUCCUCCAGGAAUAAUUUUCUGCAACUUCUUCACCUUCUUAUGAACCAACCCACCUCCCAUUUCCCUUUUUCCUUCUCUCAUCUUCUUCUUUCCAUGCAUAAUUUCGCUUCUUCUGCAAACCAUUUUACUCCACCGAAGAAAUAUAAAGAGACUCGAUAUGCCAGAGAAGAAAAGCUGAAUUCGAUUAAUACGUUUGAAGUUUUGAGCUGUAUGCAUAUAGAAUGAGAGGUGAGGAGUAGGGGUGAGGUGGGGGUGGUGGACACGGGCCAUGUGAGUUAGACAGAGGUGGUUUUGGGGGGUUUUGGACACUUGAGCUGUUGAAAUUAAUGAAGGGAUUUGUCGUUUUUUGAAGCCGCCCGUGUUGUGCUGUGACAGCUCUUACGAUAGCCAUAACUACGAGUAGUUUCUACUGUUUCAAACUGUAAUAUAUAUCUCUUCUUAGUAUUUUGCAAAUCCCGCCAGUUGCUGUCUCGCACGUGCUCAGGUUAGAUUUUAU
rnacentral:lncRNA from 1 species